rnacentral:lncRNA from 1 species
CCUCGAUAGCUCAAUUAGCAAAUCAGAUGCGUUCAACAACCACUAACCCUUUUGAAGAGGGAUUAGAAUAGUGAAUAAUGAUAUCUCAAAGGUCUAAGUUGAGUAAUUUUAUUGAUACAAAACAAAAUCCAAUGACAUUACUAUAUAUAUUCCCAAAGUUGAGUGAUCUUUAGAAAUAUCAACUCUCUGAGAGACAAAUAUUUGAAAUAACACUUGUUAAAUAUUUUGAGCAUUGAAAUGAAACUUCUACAUAUCUGCUUCUUCUUCAAUGGGAAUGGUUCGGAUCACUGGAGUUUGCUAUCAUCAUAAUAUUUUAGUAUGUUGCACAGCGCUUUAUACCCAUCUUUGCUCAUUUAACAAUUCAGAAAUUUCCAUAUAUCUGUAGUCCUUGUCCCUGCUUGUCAUCUGCAAAAAGGAGUCAAGCUAAGUCAAACUGCACAUUUGGAUGGAGCAUUAGGAAUUAGAACUGCAAAUAAAUGAGUGUAAGAAAUGGAUACAAGAGAAAAAAUACCCAUGCCAUGAGAUGUUUACCUUCUCGAGUAUAUGUUUGUAAUAGAUGAUUGCUGCAAGGCAUAUAAACCAGUAUUUAACUUGACUUCCCCCUCCCAACAAAUGUGUAGUUUAGCUGAAGAAGUCAUGUUUCUUGUUUGUCGAAUAGGUCAGUGUCUGACAUCUGAUUGUCCUAGGCCAAACAAUCUUUCCCAGUAGAGAUUUUUUUUUUCACCCCCAACAUAAUCAAAUUGAUUCUAAGAAGCACUAAACUAUAUUACCAUCCAAUUAGCCAGGGUUGGUGCUUUUCCCACAAAACUGCUUGCCUGCAAUAUUAAAAAAGAAAAAGUAGAUAAAAGAGGCUUUAAUAGAUCCAGUAUACCUGAAUAGCAUCGCCAUCACGUGGAUGCUUCCGUGCUCUAUUAUCAGGUACACUUACAAUCUGAAGAAGAAAUAAUGAUAAACUGAGCAAGUGAGAUUACUGAUCCCAGAAAAAUGCUUAGAAAGAGGACACAUUUGAAAUUCAGGAACUACAUACAUGAACUUGUAAACAUGUUUACAAGGGUAAUAGGCAAUUAGAACGAACAGCUGAAAUAAUUUGCGAUAAAUACUCAACAGUUCCUUCAAGCAUCUUCACUCUUCAGCCGCACCUGUUGGACAUGAUCAAAAUAAGACGUCACUAAGGUAUCUUGAUGAAACAAGCGAGGUCCAUUCUGACCCUCAAGUGACUAAUUACUUGAAAAUACCUACUGUAAAAAUAACUGUAUUCAUGAGAAAUGCUUAACAUGAAUAUGUAAACUCAAUGUAUAUGCACUAGUGCUGCGUUUUGUUUUCUGAGCAAGCACUUCAAUUUACUCCUUGCCAUUGACAUGAUUGGUUUAUAUCUUUACCAUGAAUGAUUCCCUACGCAGCAGAUUUACCUCAUACUACAGUAUUGACAAUGAAACUGCUCAUUAAAUGGGGAAAGAUUAUUAUAACCAAAAU